ensembl:lncRNA
AAGAAACCUAGAGAGGAACCAGGCUAUGUGGGGUGGCCAGUCCUCUUCUGGCUGUGCCGGGUGGAGAUUAUAACAGAACAUGGCCAAGAUGAUUAGGUUAAUGGGGAGAGAUGGGAGGUAGUUAGAUAUGAGGAGAGAUUGGAGGUAGUUAGAUACUGGAUAAUUAGGUUAAUGGGGAGAGAUGGGAGGUAGUUAGAUAUGAGGAGAGAUUGGAGGUAGAUACUGGAAAAUCAGGUUAACGGUGGGAUAUGAGGAGAGAUGGGAGGUAGUUAGAUACUGGAGAAUCAGGUUAAUGGGGAGAGAUGGGAGGUAGUUAGAAGAUAUAAAAUGUGAAGAUUUUAACACUGAUGCCAAAGACACACUUUGAAACACCUUCACGACAGAAGCUCAAGCAGAUGGAAAAUGUGAGAUUUGACUCUGAAAGAAAUGAAUGUUUUGUCCUGAAUAGAAUGUUGCCAUUUAUAUGUCAGAGCAAAAGCUCAGCAGGAAAAUACUGUAUUACUAGAUUGGGAAUCAAAACUGUCCCCUGGGAUAUUUUUGGCAGCACAACACCGUGUCAUCUGAAUGUUAAAUCGUGAUUUAUACUGUCUAUUUACAUUUAAUUCAGACAAGAGCUGAAAUAUUAGUAACAUGCUUGUCUCUAUGGUAAUAUACAGUAUAUUAUAAUGGUAACAUAUCAUGCUUGUCUCUAUGGUAAUAUACAGUAUAUUAUAAUAUUAGUAACAUAUCAUGCUUGUCUCUAUGGUAAUAUACGGUAUAUUAUAAUAUUAGUAACAUGCUUGUCUCUCUGGUAAUAUACAGUAUAUUAUAAUAUUAGUAACAUGCUUGUCUCUAUGGUAAUAUACAGUAUAUUAUAAUAUUAGUAACAUGCUUGUCUCUAUGGUAAUAUACAGUAUAUUAUAAUAUUAGUAACAUGCUUGUCUCUAUGGUAAUAUACAGUAUAUUAUAAUGGUAACAUAUCAUGCUUGUCUCUAUGGUAAUAUACAGUAUAUUAUAAUAUUAGUAACAUGCUUGUCUCAUUGGUAAUAUACAGUAUAUUAUAAUAUUAGUAACAUGCUUGUCUCUAUGGUAAUAUACAGUAUAUUAUAAUAUUAGUAACAUGCUUGUCUCUAUGGUAAUACAGUAUAUUAUAAUAUUAGUAACAUGCUUGUCUCUAUGGUAAUAUACAGUAUAUUAUAAUAUUAGUAACAUAUCAUGCUUGUCUCUAUGGUAAUAUACAGUAUAUUAUAAUAUUAGUAACAUAUCAUGCUUGUCUCUAUGGUAAUAUACAGUAUAUUAUAAUAUUAGUAACAUGCUUGUCUCUAUGGUAAUAUACAGUAUAUUAUAAUAUUAGUAUCAUGCUUGUCUCUAUGGUAAUACAGUAUAUUAUAAUAUUAGUAACAUGCUUGUCUCUAUGGUAAUAUACAGUAUAUUAUAAUAUUAGUAACAUGCUUGUCUCUAUGGUAAUAUACAGUAUAUUAUAAUGGUAACAUAUCAUGCUUGUCUCUAUGGUAAUAUACAGUAUAUUAUAAUAUUAGUAACAUGCUUGUCUCUAUGGUAAUAUACAGUAUAUUAUAAUAUUAGUAACAUAUCAUGCUUGUCUCUGGUAAUAUACAGUAUAUUAUAAUAUUAGUAACAUGCUUGUCUCUAUGGUAAUAUACAGUAUAUUAUAGCAUUAUAGAGAUAUAUGGAGUGCAGGACUAGGACUAUAGACAGUAUAUUAUAGCGUUAUGGAGAUAUAUGGAGUGCAGGACUAGGACUAUAGACAGUAUAUUAUAGCGUUAUGGAGAUAUAUGGAGUGCAGGACUAGGACUAUAGACAGUAUAUUAUAGCGUUAUGGAGAUAUAUGGAGUGCAGGACUAGGAGUAUAUACAAGCCAGCGUCACUGUAUUACAAUUAAUAGCUAUUGAGUUAAUGAAUAUAUUUAUUCCAUAUCAUGAUUAUGUCUUUCACUACUGUAGAGAGAGAAUUCUCCCCUUUAAAAACUUCUAGUAUGUGCUUGGCCAUUCUGAGCCUUAUGAGUCGAUGGUCUACCAUUCUGAGCCUUAUGAGUCGAUGGUCUACCAUUCUGAGCCUUAUGAAUGGAUGGUCUACCAUUCUGAGCCUUAUGAAUGGAUGGUCUACCAUUCUGAGCCUUGUGGAUGGAUGGUCUACCAUUCUGAGCCUUGUGGAUGGAUGGUCUACCAUUCUGAGCCUUGUGGAUG